AGCAAGUGGCAGGAAGCAGAUUCCAGAGCGGCUCCUUACAAAACCCACUAGCAGAGAAUUCAAUCCAAGACCAUUGGCUGUACUGCUGCGCUCAAUAAUGCCAGGGCACACGUCUUUCUUCAGACAUGAGGCCUUCCACGGCGCCAUUAAAAGUGUCCAAACAGCAUUAUUUCGCUCUUCUCUAAGGACAGAAAAACGAAAGAGGGAACUCAUCUCUCCUGCUAACAAGAACUGACACCAUCUUCCUGUAGUUAUCAAUCCAGAUUUAAGAAAGAGUUCAAGCAACACUGCAAGUGGUAGAAAAUGAGACAUUCCUCCACCACUUAUCAAGACACCGUGUAGGCUACAUCCACACUAUUCACAAUGACAG